GAUAUUGGCCUGGAUAGCUCAAUGGUUAGAGCACCUGCCUAGUAAUGCAGGGGUCCCAGGUUCGAUUCCCGGUCCAGCCAAAGAUUUUCUCCUCCUUCCUAUACUACACUUGUUAGAGUUUACAAUGUUUUUGCAUACUUUGAAAAAAUAAAAUUUAAAAAAAAAAAAAUAAUUUAUUUCCUACCUUCCUACCCUAUUUUUUUCUGGAACAUUAGCGGAAACUCAACAAUUUUUAUCGUUGGCCUUAUUCAUAUUCUAUCAUGAAACGGAGAACAAAGUCGCUUGACAAAAUUCUCUUCAAAAAAUUUACUGAGCAUUUUCAACCUGCAGACAAUUUUACUUGCCUGUCUGAUUUCUGGUGAUUCCAGCACUCAAUGCUACUUUGGUUUUUCAGCUUUCUGGACCUUAAGAUGUUGACACCCUGCUGAUGGAGCAGAAGCAGAAAGCAGUUCUCUUACCAUCAGAUCUGAUCCAUUUUUGGAGAUAGCCUUUUGUAUGGAGCUGGGUAGCGGUUACUGGAGACGUGCUGUUGAUUGAUGAGGAUAAUUUUCCCGAGACUCUGACAUAUAUUGCAGGACCUGGAUAGCUCUACUGGUGUUCAAAAUGCCAGGACUGUGGAGUGUUGUGAUGUUAUUGAUGGUCAACAGAAGACUGUGACCUUGAAUCUGAAGAUCUAUGAUGAAGACUGGACGUUUGGGGUCACUCUCUGUUACAGUACUACAAAUCUAACAGUGACAGGCUCAGCCACAAAGAGGUUGUCUCUGAUGUUCACACAUAAACCUAAUGGAGUGUAUAAACCACAGUGAAUGUAACGGAGGAACUGUCCGUCCUGAUCUAGGAUGUGGAUACGGUCAUUGUGACGGUCUGCUGUCAGGAUGUGACUCUGGCUGUCUGUAGUGAUGCCGUAUGGUUUAAAUGAUUGCUCGGUAUUAGAGGGAUGACCAGUGUAUCUAAAUCGGAGUUUUCCUGACUGAUUGACCACCACUACUGCUCUAGCGUCACAGUCAGCCACACAGAUAUCCAGGUUCUUGUUCUCACUGAGGUAUUUAUUGAUAUAACCACCAGAUGAGUAGAGAGGACGACCCUGAUCAUCAAACUGAAUGCUUUGUUUCUCUGUGGAGCCGGAGUAACGCACGACUUUGGAUUGUAUGUAAUCAUCACUCUCCAUGGUAACCAGGAGAUCGUUAGCCGCGGUACAGCAGACAGAGAGAGGUUUCCACCCCUGUAGUGUGAUCACGAUUGAGUUGAGUGGAACAAUGAACCUCCGGAUAUCUAUGUACAUUUACACGCGUAGGAUUAAACUUCUGUUGUACUCGCGCAUGCGAGCUUAUCCUA